rnacentral:rRNA from 1 species
GAUGAACGCUGGCGGCGUGCCUAAUACAUGCAAGUCGAGCGAACGGACGAGAAGCUUGCUCCUCUGAUGUUAGCGGCGGACGGGCGAGUAACACGUGGAUAACCUACCUAUAAGACUGGGAUAACUUCGGGAAACCGGAGCCAAUACCGGAUGAUAUUUUGAACCGCAUGGUUCAAAAGUGAAAGACGGUCUUGCUGUCACUUAUAGAUGGAUCCGCGCUGCAUUAGCUAGUUGGUAAGGUAACGGCUUACCAAGGCAACGAUGCAUAGCUGACCUGAGAGGGUGAUCAGCCACACUGGAACUGAGACACGGUCCAGACUCCUACGGGAGGCAGCAGUGGGGAAUCUUCCGCAAUGGGCGAAAGCCUGACGGAGCAACGCCGCGUGAGUGAUGAAGGUCUUCGGGUCGUAAAACUCUGUUAUUAGGGAAGAACAGAUGUGUAAGUAACUGUGCACAUCUUGACGGUACCUAAUCAGAAAGCCACGGCUAACUACGUG